GGCAGAGACAACAAAAAGAACCAGAAGAACAAAGCACCUCUGAGGAAAUUGGUUGACUUUUUUCCCUUUCUUGCCAGUCUCCGUGGCAGGAAGUGGGUUUUGGUGGGACCAGGGAAGGUGACGUCCCAGUUGGCAGCGCCCUCCCUGUACCUGUGGAAACCCUUGAUCAACAUAGCUCACUAUCUCGGCUUACACAAAGCAGGUACACUUUGUUUAAAGAAUAUCAGAACUUCCUGGGGUUUCACACUGAAAUCUGUAGGGUGGAGUUAAGGCUAAAUAUCCCAUGCAAACUCUUUUCCUGCCCCCUGUGAGCAGCGCUAGGGAAGUGAAUCCUACCUUGCCAAUGCCACCUGAAGCAUCCUUCAUGGGAUGCCCUUCCCCUUCAGUGUGGAGGGGCCCGGGAAUCCCGGGGUUUCCCCUGAGGCACCCGAUCAGAUGGUGAAAAGGUCUUUUUUUUAGCGGGGCAGGGUGUUAGUGAGGCCUCUGGUGCCGCUCCCACGAGCAGAGCUCACCCACGGUAGAGGAAGGCAGCGGGAGACGGAACCUCGCAGUGCCGGCGAAUUCUCCCUGCGGCCACCGCAGCUUCUCUCCCCUUCGAUGCCGACAUCGAGAGAGGGAGAGGAGCCGAGCCCAGCCUCUCUCUGUGGUAUCUUUGCCCUUCCAAAGAGAAAACCACACAGCAACAGAUGGGAUAAAAUUCCACGAGAAGGAAACAAACGGAAUAAUCCUAACGCCCAACACAGUUUUACCAGAAUAUCCUUGAAGAGAAAUUAAAGCUUGUGCUGCAGGAGGCCAACUGCAAUAUCUUGCUCCUUCGCUAUUGUCCACAGAGCCAAUUCUGAUGCUCAUACACACAGUCCUGUUCCAGACCGAAAUCAGUGAAGUGCGACAGGUACCUCCACAGCCAUGGACUAGAAUGGAAGACGGUCUCCAGUGGCUUAAACAGGUUUGUCUUAACACUUUUGUCCCACAUUAUUGCCUACUACUCUAAUGAGAGAUGAAAGAAUUAAAAGAAGGUCAGCAAAGUUGCUAUUUGAAAGAAGGUCAGCAAAGUGUAGUGCCUCCAAAUGCUUAGGACAGACAGAAAUCCAGUGCACACCAAUCCUGGUAGAGAAGUAGCUGCAGCUAUAAGGAGCACAACCGAAAAUUUCUCUUUUAAAGACUUCAGCAAACAAAUUCACCAUGCACUCUGAGCACAGCCUGGAAGGAGGAAGAUCAAGAUUCAAUCUGAAAGCCAUUCUUGCUUAACACAA